CCUACGGGAGGCAGCAGUGAGGAAUAUUGGUCAAUGGGCGGAAGCCUGAACCAGCCAAGUCGCGUGAGGGAAUAAGGCCCUACGGGUCGUAAACCUCUUUUGCCGGGGAGCAAGGGCCGGGACGAAUCCCGGUCCGGAGAGUACCCGGAGAAAAAGCAUCGGCAAACUCCGUGCCAGCAGCCGCGGUAAUACGGAGGAUGCGAGCGUUAUCCGGAUUUAUUGGGUUUAAGGGGUGCGUAGGCGGGCUUUUAAGUCAGCGGUAAAAAUUCGGGGCUCAACCCCGUCCGGCCGUUGAAACUGGGGGCCUUGAGUGGGCGAGAAGAAGGCGGAAUGCGCGGUGUAGCGGUGAAAUGCAUAGAUAUCACGCAGAACCCCGAUUGCGAAGGCAGCCUUCCGGCGCCCUACUGACGCUGAGGCACGAAAGUGCGGGGAUCGAACAGGAUUAGAUACCCCUGUAGUC
rnacentral:rRNA from 1 species